AUACGUAGGGAGCGAGCGUUGUCCGGAAUUACUGGGUGUAAAGGGAGCGUAGGCGGGAGUGCAAGUCAGAUGUGAAAUACAUGGGCUCAACCCAUGGGCUGCAUUUGAAACUGCAUUUCUUGAGUGAAGUAGAGGUAAGCGGAAUUCCUGGUGUAGCGGUGAAAUGCGUAGAUAUCAGGAGGAACACCGGUGGCGAAGGCGGCUUACGGGGCUUUUACUGACGCUGAGGCUCGAAAGCGUGGGGAGCAAACAGGAUUAGAUACCCUGGUAGUCCACGCUGUAAACGAUGAUUACUAGGUGUGGGGGGACUGACCUCUUCCGUGCCGCAGUUAACACAAUAAGUAAUCCACCUGGGGAGUACGGCCGCAAGGUUGAAACUCAAAUGAAUUGACGGGG
rnacentral:rRNA from 1 species